GGAAGGAGAAGUCGUAACAAGGUUUUKGUAGGUGAACCUGCGGAAGGAUCAUUG
rnacentral:rRNA from 1 species